rnacentral:rRNA from 1 species
CCUACGGGUGGCUGCAGUGAGGAAUAUUGGUCAAUGGAGGCAACUCUGAACCAGCCAUGCCGCGUGCAGGAUGACGGUCCUAUGGAUUGUAAACUGCUUUUGUACAGGAAGAAACCUCUCUACGUGUAGAGACUUGACGGUACUGUAAGAAUAAGGAUCGGCUAACUCCGUGCCAGCAGCCGCGGUAAUACGGAGGAUCCGAGCGUUAUCCGGAAUUAUUGGGUUUAAAGGGUUCGUAGGCGGCUUUGUAAGUCAGUGGUGAAAUUUCCUAGCUU